rnacentral:rRNA from 1 species
AACGAACGCUGACGGCAGGCUUAACACAUGCAAGUCGAGCGAGAUCUUCGGAUCUAGCGGCGGACGGGUGAGUAACGCGUGGGAACGUGCCCUUUUCUACGGAAUAGCCUCGGGAAACUGAGAGCAAUACCGUAUACGCCCAGUAAUGGGGAAAGAUUUAUCGGAGAAGGAUCGGCCCGCGUUAGAUUAGGUAGUUGGUGGGGUAAUGGCCUACCAAGCCGACGAUCUAUAGCUGGUUUGAGAGGAUGAUCAGCCACACUGGGACUGAGACACGGCCCAGACUCCUACGGGAGGCAGCAGUGGGGAAUUUUAGACAAUGGGGGCAACCCUGAUCUAGCCAUGCCGCGUGAGUGAUGAAGGCCUUAGGGUUGUAAAGCUCUUUCAGCUGGGAAGAUAAUGACGGUACCAGCAGAAGAAGCCCCGGCUAACUCCGUGCCAGCAGCCGCCGUAA